rnacentral:lncRNA from 10 species
GGGGCCACGACGGAAGAGAAGGUGGUAAAAAGGGCGAGUUGCCUAAGGGCAACGUGGAGAGGGAUGAAAAGCCUAGACCCCUUAGCACGGUCACCUGAACACAAGCUGAGUGUGGCGUAUCAAGUGGAAGCCCAGGAGGGAAGAGCCAGUGGCACAGUUAUCUCCCACCACCCGACAUGCUCCGGCCGCCAGCUCUGGUCUGACCGACGCUUCGGAUGAAGAACUCCAAGCAGCCCCCUAUUCGUACUGUUUUCCUCAGUGAACUCCCAGGGAUCACCUGCUUUUUAUGUGUGACGAAUGUGGUCAGUUUUGUUUGCUUUUGACAGCUCAUUAUGGGUCCAUGAGGUCAGAGUCCUGGCUGAAAGGCCAGAAGUUUAGGGAGCCUAUCUCCAGCUGAUACUCGCUUGCUUCUUGACCAUCUUUGGGCUUCUGUUCUUUCCCAGUAGCAUAAAGCUUGUAUGAUUCUGACCUCUGGCACCUAUGCAUUAUUUAAUCAACAUUUAUUGGGGCUGUCUCCAUGCCAGGCAUGUGGUAGGCCCUAGUGGGGCAGGGGUAAAAAACCGCUGCAAUCCUGGCCUUUCAGGAACUCAGUCUAGAGGGAGAAAGAAAACACCUGAGGCCAGAGGGCUCUCUCUGAUCUGCUUCUUCUAUUUCAAGUCUGUGCUUUUAACUAUAUUGAAUUUCCCAGUUAUUAUAUCUUCUUAAUGAAUUGUUGAUUUUAUCAGUAUGGAAUGUCCAUCCCACUUUGACCCUUGUAAUGCCUUUUACCUUAAAUUCUAUUUUAUUCUGCCCAUCACUAGGGGACUAGUUGAAUCAGUUAUGGUAUAUCCUCACAAUGGAGUACUAUGCAG